rnacentral:rRNA from 1 species
CCUACGGGAGGCUGCAGUAGGGAAUAUUGCUCAAUGGGGGAAACCCUGAAGCAGCAACGCCGCGUGGAGGAUGAAGGUUUUCGGAUUGUAAACUACUUUUGUCAGAGAAGAUAAUGACGGUAUCUAACGAAUAAGCACCGGCCAACUCCGUGCCAGCAGCCGCGGUAAUACGGAGGGUGCAAGCGUUACUCGGAAUUACUGGGCGUAAAGAGCGCGUAGGCGGGAUAGCAAGUCAGAUGUGAAAUCCUAUGGCUUAACCAUAGAACUGCAUUUGAAACUGUGAUUCUAGAGUAUGGGAGAGGGAGGUAGAAUUCUUGGUGUAGUGGUAAAAGCCGUAGAGAUCAGGAGGAAUACUCAUGGCGAAGGCGACCUUCUGGAAAAUAACUGACGCUGAUGCGCGAAAGCGUGGGGAGCAAACAGGAUUAGAUACCCGUGUAGUC